GGAAGCCGCGAUCCCAGAACUUGCAAUUCGGGUUGGUUUUGGUCGACAGGGGCUGUAGUGCCUACGCGUGUCCGCCACGCUGGCAAUGAACACAAGCCGUUGCCUGUACAUUUUGCACAAAACCCCUGAUUCAUUUAGUGCCGAUUCGAUUGAGGACAAAGGAAAAUCGAUUCCCCAUUGACCUAUCCGAAACAUGUACGAACAGCGGUGACCGUGUCGGCCAGACCAUCAUCAGUAUCGGCACGGGAGCGUGGUGGUUGCGGCGGCGGCUCUGGCGGCGCUGGCGUGUUCCGCGGGACGUUCCCGCUGCGGCCGGGCAGCAUGGCCGACUUCCCGGGCUUCGAGGCGCACGUGGUGGAGCUCUCCGACGCGGCCCACAUCCCCCCGCACGCGGACGCGGCCGUCACGCCCCGCACGCGGAUGCGGCCGAGCGGCUCCAGGGCACGGAGGUCCGGUUCCGCGGCGAGGUCCAGGCCCCCACAGCGUUGCCUUCGACGAUGGCUGAGACUGGUGUGUUGCCAAGGAUCUCGAUGGAGAUGACAAAGGCAAGAUCAGGAUAGUCGUUACAGAAGAAAAAAACAGAAGCCUGUUGAUCAGUACCAGAACCAGCUAGUAAGAAGGAGAAAUUGCACUCAAUUUGAAGAAUACAAUCUGAAGCUUCGUUCGUGUCUAUAUAGCUGCUGCUGUGUUCGGGCUUGUUUUGUGCUUGGUUUCUGUACUGCUCACCCUUUACUCUGGUUGUUGUUAAAACGGAAAUGAAAAGGUCAUCAGGUGAUUAGUGUGAAUGAAAUGUAAUCUAGUAUUCCAGCUGAAUUCAUGGUGUGGUGUUGCACUGAAAUAUUGAGCGAAUAUUCAGUGUUCCAGCUCAAUUGGAGUGAAUAAAUGCAUGACAAUUUGGCAUCA